UACGUAGGUGGCAAGCGUUGUUCGGAAUUAUUGGGCGUAAAGGGCGCGUAGGCGGCUUGUUAAGUCGGUUGUGAAAGCCCGGGGCUCAACCCCGGAAAGUCGACCGAUACUGGCAGGCUAGAGUACGGAAGAGGUAGCUGGAAUUCCCGGUGUAGCGGUGAAAUGCGUAGAUAUCGGAAGGAACACCAGUGGCGAAAGCGACUUCCUGGUCCAAUACUGACGUUCAUGUGCGAAAGCGUGGGGAGCAAACAGG
rnacentral:rRNA from 1 species